GUGCCUUCAGAAACGGUAAAACAGGUGCUGCAUGGCCGUCGUCAGCUCGUGUUGUGAAAUGUUGGGUUAAGUCCCGCAACGAGCGCAACCCUUAUCCUUGUUUGCCAGCACUUCGGGUGGGAACUCCAGGGAGACUGCCGGUGAUAAACCGGAGGAAGGUGGGGACGACGUCAAGUCAUCAUGGCCCUUACGAGUAGGGCUACACACGUGCUACAAUGGCGCAUACAGAGGGCGGCCAACUUGCGAAAGUGAGCGAAUCCCAAAAAGUGCGUCGUAGUCCGGAUUGGAGUCUGCAACUCGACUCCAUGAAGUCGGAAUCGCUAGUAAUCGUGGAUCAGAAUGCCACGGUGAAUACGUUCCCGGGCCUUGUACACACCGCCCGUCACACCAUGGGAGUGGGCUGCAAAAGAAGUGGGUAGUUUAACCUUCGGGAGGACGCUCACCACUUUGUGGUUCAUGACUGGGGUGAAGUCGUAACAAGGUAACCG
rnacentral:rRNA from 1 species